AACGGUAGAGUAGCAAUACUCGAGAGUGGCGAACGGGUGAGUAAUAUAUCGGAACGUGCCCAGUCGUGGGGGAUAACGUAUAGAAAUUUACGCUAAUACCGCAUACGAUCUAAGGAUGAAAGCGGGGGAUUCGCAAGAACCUCGCGCGAUUGGAGCGGCUGAUAUCAGAUUAGGUUGUUGGUGAGGUAAAAGCUCACCAAACCGACGAUCUGUACCUGGU
rnacentral:rRNA from 1 species